rnacentral:misc_RNA from 1 species
AAAUCAUCCUCAGGGAAAACCCGAAGUUCUGUUUUAUAGAAACAGAAGCUGCUUCUUGAUCAGAUCAACUUCUCAUCGUAGUGAAACAACCAAUUCAAUCUUUGAUUUAUAGCUCUGUUAGUUUCUCCGAUGGGAAGAGGAAAGUUCAAGGGCAAGCCCACUGGUCAGCGCCACUUCUCCACUCCUGAAGAGAUGCUUGCUGGCACUUCUUCGCGUCCUCGUACAUUUAAAAAGCAAGAAGCUGAAGCAAGCAUCUCUUCAGGAGUGGAGAAGUGGCGCUGACCAGUGGGCUUGCCUGAUGAUGAACCUGAUCAAAAGCGGAAGGGAACUCAAGGUAUUAUUCAGAUCGAAAAUCCUAAUAUGGCAAAGCCAAAGAAUGUGAAAGCUAGA